AGGACGAACGCUGGCGGCGUGCUUAACACAUGCAAGUCGAGCGGAAAGGCCCUUCGGGGUACUCGAGCGGCGAACGGGUGAGUAACACGUGAGCAACCUGCCCCUGGCUCUGGGAUAGCCUCCGGAAACGGGGAUUAAUACCGGAUAUUCACUGCUCCCUGCAUGGGGGGUGGUGGAAAGUUUUUCGGCUAGGGUGGGGCUCGCGGCCUAUCAGCUUGUUGGGGGGGUGACGGCCCACCAAGGCGACGACGGGUAGCCGGCCUGAGAGGGCGACCGGCCACACUGGGACUGAGACACGGCCCAGACUCCUACGGGAGGCAGCAGUGGGGAAUAUUGCGCAAUGGGCGGAAGCCUGACGCAGCGACGCCGCGUGCGGGAUGGAAGGCCUUCGGGUUGUAAACCGCUUUCACCAGGGACGAAGCGGAAGUGACGGUACCUGGGGAAGAAGGCGCCGGCUAACGUACGCGCCAGCAGCCGC
rnacentral:rRNA from 1 species